rnacentral:rRNA from 1 species
AACGAACGCUGGCGGCAUGCCUAACACAUGCAAGUCGAACGAAGUCUUCGGACUUAGUGGCGCACGGGUGCGUAACGCGUGGGAAUCUGCCCUUAGGUACGGAAUAACUCAGGGAAACUUGUGCUAAUACCGUAUGAUGUCUUCGGACCAAAGAUUUAUCGCCUAGGGAUGAGCCCGCGUAGGAUUAGCUAGUUGGUGAGGUAAAGGCUCACCAAGGCGACGAUCCUUAGCUGGUCUGAGAGGAUGAUCAGCCACACUGGGACUGAGACACGGCCCAGACUCCUACGGGAGGCAGCAGUGGGGAAUAUUGGACAAUGGGCGAAAGCCUGAUCCAGCAAUGCCGCGUGAGUGAUGAAGGCCUUAGGGUUGUAAAGCUCUUUUACCCGGGAAGAUAAUGACUGUACCGGGAGAAUAAGCCCCGGCUAACUCCGUGCCAGCAGCCGCGGUAA